CAAAAUAAAUAAAUAAUCACCACCAAGUCAGAUGAAACAGCCAUAAACAUCAACAUAAAAAUCAGAUUCUCAGGAACCAAACAUGCUCUGCAAGAAAUCAGCGAUGCGUUUUAUACUAGUCCUACUGCUAUCAUUUUCUCUACUCUUGCAUCCAUCUUCUACAACAAACACUCACUUUAACUAUCAAGGAAAGGAAUGAAUUGAUACAUAGAAAUCUAGGCGGAGGAAAACCACCUUCAUGUCCUCCACAUGAUACUGCUUGUCAUGCACAUAGUAAUCUUCCUCCUCCUUCACAUUGAUGAUAGCUAGAAGGAAAUUGCGUUACCAGGACAACUCAAAUGAAUAGUUAUUCGAUAUGAUUACUAGUGAUUUUGUAUUUUUAUAUUUUUCAUAUUUCCAAUCUAGCUUAGAAGGCUUUAUAUAUUUUAAAUAAAUUUAAGAGGUUAAAAUUUUAUAUGAUAUGUAUUUUGAUAUAUUCAUAUAUUUGUAUUAUGUUUGAAUUGUAAUGUCUAAUUAUGAGCUUCAAAAACUCCAACCUUAAUAUUUAUGUGUUCAAACACUUUCCAAAUACGCAUUUUGGAUUACAUGCCACUAAUCUAAUAUAUAUUCUUGA